CCUACAGGAAUCACAAAGCAGAAUCUUUUCAAGCUACAAAAAAAAAAGAAACAAAAAAAAGAAAAACGAAGAGAGAAGAAAGUGUUGAAGACUUCGUUUGGGCCGCUGUUUCCCGUGUUGCUGCUGACUAAACAUUUAUCAUCAAAGUGACAGCGACGAGGAAGAGCACGAGUAGACAAACCAGAGGGCUAAAGGACAUUGACAGCCGCCAACGUGGAAAGGUGAACUAAAAAUUGCAGAAAAAUAGUUGCAGGAUGUGGAUGGAUAGAUGGAUAUAUAUAUGUAUGUGACAGGCAUUUGCAAUAAAACAGCAACGAGAGGGACGAAGAGGAAGACGGUG